UGGCUUGUAGUUCAGGGUAGAACGCCUGACUGUUAAUCAGGAUGUCGUGGGUUCGAUCCCCACCUUGCCAG
rnacentral:tRNA from 1 species